rnacentral:rRNA from 1 species
GAUGAACGCUGGCGGCGUGCUUAACACAUGCAAGUCGAACGGUGAAGCAGAGCUUGCUCUGUGGAUCAGUGGCGAACGGGUGAGUAACACGUGAGCAACCUGCCCCGGACUCUGGGAUAAGCGCUGGAAACGGCGUCUAAUACCGGAUACGAGAUUCCACCGCAUGGUGAGUUUCUGGAAAGAUUUUUUGGUCUGGGAUGGGCUCACGGCCUAUCAGCUUGUUGGUGAGGUAAUGGCUCACCAAGGCGUCGACGGGUAGCCGGCCUGAGAGGGUGACCGGCCACACUGGGACUGAGACACGGCCCAGACUCCUACGGGAGGCAGCAGUGGGGAAUAUUGCACAAUGGGCGGAAGCCUGAUGCAGCAACGCCGCGUGAGGGAUGACGGCCUUCGGGUUGUAAACCUCUUUUAGCAGGGAAGAAGCGAAAGUGACGGUACCUGCAGAAAAAGCGCCGGCUAACUACGUGCCAGCAGCCGCAGUAAGAC